GGGAGGUGAGUCUCUGGAAGAACCUCAAAGCUGUGGAGACCCUUGGGCCAGGAAGGCAAGCGGAAGUGACUGGGGACACCAGACAAGUGCUCUAUUGAAUAAAGAGGACCGUGGAGACCGAGUCGUCUUCCGACCACACUCUUCUCGAGAACUCUGCGGCUCCUUCUUAAGACUCCCCAACACGUGGAGCCUCUUCCAGCUGCUCUCGGUGGGGGUGGCUGGGGGCCACUCUGGCCCCCAGCUCCUUCCUCCGCAGGGGGAGGCUCAGCUGUUGAGUUGCCCAGGAGGAAGGGUCACGCCGUGGGGGACUGUCUAUUCAGUGGGACCAGGAGCCAGCCUUCUGUGGAGGGUCUGGGGACAGCAAAGGGACAUGGGCCUUGUGGUCUUGCUGCGUCUGAAGAGGGGGGCAUGGCCUGGAGGACAGAGAGGACUGUGACCAGAACCUGGCUGGGCUGGGCUUUGAGAAGGUCCAUUUGCGGCUCCAUUCACUGGACAGAGUGCUUGGGACAGAACUGAAUUUCUGGCUCCGAAUCCUGGGGACACCAGCUCCGUGUGGCCAUCAGAGAGAGCGAGAAGUGCGGGACGGGGGCUGAGGGGACCAGGGCACUGGAGUCCUUAACAAAGGCUCUUUUUUUUUUUUUUUUUUAAUGGGGGGGAGGCUUGAUCUCGGCCAGGAAGGAUGGUCACGUUGUGGCCCCGGCCACCUUCCUCUUCAGGCUUCAGGGCCCAAGGCCCCCCUCCCUCAGGCCCCGGGAAAGGGC
rnacentral:lncRNA from 1 species